CCUACGGGAGGCAGCAGUGGGGAAUAUUGGGCAAUGGGCGCAAGCCUGACCCAGCAACGCCGCGUGAAGGAAGAAGGCUUUCUGGUUGUAAACUUCUUUUAUCAUGGACGAAGCAAGUGACGGUACCUGAUGAAUAAGCCACGGCUAACUACGUGCCAGCAGCCGCGGUAAUACGUAGGUGGCAAGCGUUAUCCGGAUUUACUGGUUGUAAAGGGCGUGUAGGCGGGAGUGCAAGUCAGAUGUGAAAACUAUGGGCUCAACCCAUAGCGUGCAUUUGAAACUGGAAGUCUUGAGUACUGGAGAGGUGAUCGGAAUUCGGGGUGUAGCGGUGAAAUGCGGAGAUAUAAGGAGGAACACCAGUGGCGAAGGCAGAUUGCUGGACAGUAACUGACGCUGAGGCGCGAAAGCGUGGGGAGCAAACAGGAUUAGAUACCCCUGUAGUC
rnacentral:rRNA from 1 species